rnacentral:rRNA from 1 species
UACGAAGGGGGCUAGCGUUGCUCGGAAUCACUGGGCGUAAAGGGUGCGUAGGCGGGUUAUUAAGUCAGAGGUGAAAUCCUGGAGCUCAACUCCAGAACUGCCUUUGAUACUGAUAGUCUUGAGUAUGGGAGAGGUGAGUGGAACUGCGAGUGUAGAGGUGAAAUUCGUAGAUAUUCGCAAGAACACCAGUGGCGAAGGCGGCUUACUGGCCCGAUACUGACACUGAGGCACGAAAGCGUGGGGAGCAAACAGG